GAUGAACGCUGGCGGCAUGCUUUACACAUGCAAGUCGGACGGGAAGUGGUGUUUCCGGUGGCGGACGGGUGAGUAACGCGUAAGAACCUGCCCUUGGGAGGGGAACCACAGCUGGAAACGGCUGCUAAUACCCCGUAGGCUGAGGAGCGAAAGGAGGAAUCCGCCCAAGGAGGGGCUCGCGUCUGAUUAGCUAGUUGGUUGGGUAAUAGCUUGCCAAGGCGGUUAUCAGUAGCUGAUCAGAGAGGAUGAUCAGCCACACUGGGACUGAGACAAGGCCCAGACUCCUACGGGAGGAAGGAGCAGGCAACAUCGGGCAGCAGGAGUGAGGAUUUUCCAGCAAUGGGGGGAGGGCUGACGAAGCCAUGGGGCGGGGAGGUAAAAGGGCUAGGGGUGAAGAACUUCUUUUCAUGACGAAGAAGCAAUGACGGUACCUGGGGAAUAAGCACCGGCUAACUCCGUG
rnacentral:rRNA from 1 species